rnacentral:rRNA from 1 species
AGCGAACGCUGGCGGCAGGCCUAACACAUGCAAGUCGAACGAACCUUUCGGGGUUAGUGGCGGACGGGUGAGUAACACGUGGGAACGUGCCUUUAGGUUCGGAAUAACUCAGGGAAACUUGUGCUAAUACCGAAUGUGCCCUUCGGGGGAAAGAUUUAUCGGCUUUAGAGCGGCCCGCGUCUGAUUAGCUAGUUGGUUGAGGUAAUGGCUCACCAAGGCGACGAUCAGUAGCUGGUCUGAGAGGAUGAUCAGCCACAUGGGGACUGAGACACGGCCCAAACUCCGGCGGGAGGCAGCAGUGGGGAAUCUUGCGCAAUGGGCGAAAGCCUGACGCAGCCAUGCCGCGUGAAUGAUGAAGGUCUUAGGAUAGUAAAAUUCUUUCACCGGAGACGAUAAUGACGGUACCCGGAGAAGAAGCCCCGGCUAACUUCGUG